GACGGAAGGUGCAAGCGUUGCUCGGAAUCACUGGGCGUAAAGGGUGCGUAGGCGGCCGUGCAAGUCUGGCGUGAAAGCCCCGGGCUCAGCCCGGGAAGUGCGCUCGAAACUGCGCGGCUCGAGUGCCGGAGGGGAGAGUGGAAUUCCUGGUGUAGCGGUGAAAUGCGUAGAUAUCAUGAGGAAGACCAGUGGCGAAGGCGGGUCUCUGGACAGUUCCUGACACUGAGACACGAAGGCCAGGGGAGCAAACGGG
rnacentral:rRNA from 1 species